CUUUGUUAAAGAACUAUGAAAGACCGCUGAAGUUGGCUUAAAUUUCUGAAAAAAAUGUGUUAUCUCCGUGUAAAUACAGCUGCACACGGCGCCCGUCUGAGGAUGAAGUUCCUCCGUAAUCUGGCCGUUCUGAACCAGCAUAGAUGGCCGGCGUCAAGCCGCAAUCCCAUUGGUGGUCAGCGUGGCUGAAACGCCGCCAGUGCCGGCGCCUUCCCGCUUCCCGCUCUGCCUCGGUGUUAUCAGACCAGGCAGGAGGAGGAACCAAAGAACCACAGAUAGAGGCCUGAAAGGAGAAGAAGACCUGAAGACGAGCAGAGAAAAGGAGAAGGAGCACACUGCACCUUGGCGGAGGAAAGGG